AUACGAAGGGGGCUAGCGUUGUUCGGAAUUACUGGGCGUAAAGCGCGCGUAGGCGGACUGAUCAGUUGGGGGUGAAAUCCCAGGGCUUAACCCUGGAACUGCCUCCAAUACUGUCAGUCUUGAGUUCGGGAGAGGUGAGUGGAAUUCCUAGUGUAGAGGUGAAAUUCGUAGAUAUUCGGAAGAACACCAGUGGCGAAGGCGGCUCACUGGCCCGAUACUGACGCUCAGGCGCGAAAGCGUGGGGAGCAAACAGGAUUAGAAACCCUAGUAGUCC
rnacentral:rRNA from 1 species